rnacentral:rRNA from 1 species
UGGUUCUGGCAUCGAUGAAAAACGCAGCGAAAUGCGAUACGUAGUGUGAAUUUCAGAAUUCAGUGAAUCAUCGAAUCUUUGGACGCACAUUGCGCCCUUUGGUAUUCCAAAGGGCAUGCCUCUUCGAGCGUCAUUUGUACCCUCAAGCUUUGCUUGGUGUUGGGCGUCUUGUCUUUCACGAGACUCGCCUUAAAAUCAUUGGCAGCCGACCUACUGGUUUCGGAGCGCAGCACAAUUCUUGCACUUUGAAUCAGCCUUGGUUGAGCAUCCAUCACGACCCUAUUUUUUAACUUUUGACCUCCGAUCAGGUAGG